rnacentral:lncRNA from 1 species
AAUGAAAGAUGGUUAUACUUUGACUGAUGCUUUCCGGAAAAAGGUUUCUCAAAGUUGGUUAAAAACCAAUGCUGGGUAUAGGUCUCCAGGCCAAAGUUUGUUGUUUGGCUCUGAGUGGGGUUCUUUCUUACACAGAAACGAUGGACCUUUCAUUGAUGAAGAAUUCUAUGGCCCCAACAUUACAGCCUACAAGAACGAGCUCGAAGAAAUAGGAGUGACCAUUGAUGUGUUAAAUGGGUGCUCUUUGCUUGCUGGCUAUCUUGAUUUUCAUUCUGAAUUUUCAACCAUUGUUCGAGUCUAUAAUUACUUGAAUAAACACGGCUGGUCGCCUUGCAAUGAUACUCCUAGAAGGAUCUGGAUCCCUAAUGGGAGUGACAGUGGAGAGUGGGUUAGUCCUGAAAAAUGUGUUAUUCACGACAAGGAUGGUCUCUUCAGUUCACGACUGAAUGUUUUAGAGAAACACUAUAAGCCGGAAUUAUUCAGCCUUUUCUGCAGAGUCAUGCAAGUUAAAUCCAAUCCUUCUAUUGAUGACUACUGCGAACUUUGGAAUAACUGGGAAAAUUCAAGGGAGCAAUUGUCACGUUCGGAGUGUUGUGCUUUCUGGGCCCAUGUUUCAAAGCACUGGAGUAAAAACACACAGAAAACCCUUGCCGACAGAUUGUCAAAACUGCCAGUUGAAUCAGGAUCGGAGAGAAUAAUGCUGUUUGACAAACGUGAUGUUUUCAUUGCAGAUGACCUCCAGCUGAAGUAUCUUUUCCAACAAUCUUCGCCUCACUCAAUAUUUGUGUGGUAUCCCCAGCCAAGCAUCCCUUCCUUGCCCCGGACUAAGCUGCUUGACAUCUACAGGGAAAUUGGUGUUCGUUCUAUCUCUAAAUCUGUACAGAAGGAAGAAAUCUCCAAGUUGGAGGCCAGUGAACUCAAGCAAGCGUCUCAGAAGGAAACUUUGAUCGGAAAAGGCCUGCUGAAACUCAUUCUUGGCUUUCUCGCUGGUCCUUCUAUUGAAAUGGAAGCAGGACAAAGGCUGGACGCUGUCAAAGGCCUUCUCAAUCUUAAGGUGUUUGAGACGGAGGAGUCAAUUGCAGCAAGCUAUAGAUUGUCAAUGUCUUCAGGGGAAACCAUGGCCGUUGAUGCAAGACGAAUGAUGCGCUGGGACCGGGAGGAUUCCAAUCUUUUCAUGCAGAAGAUGGAGAUAUCGGGUGGACAUAAAAAUAAAAUCGAAUAUGGUACAAUCUUCGCUGAAGUAAUAUCAGAGGGCGUCUUACAGGAGAAAGAAGACCAUAUACCUGAUCUCGCCGAACUGAUCAUGUUGGCAUUCCUCCUGGAUUUUGAUGAGGAAGCAGUUGGGUUCUUAAUGAGAUCCAAGAAUCUCCAAGUUUUCUUGGAGGACGAGGAGUUUCUCUCCUCAGCCCUUCCUGUCGACUAGGUAUCAUUUUCCUUAUAUUUACCCCCUGUUUGCAGUCUCUACUGGUAUGUGCUAUUAGAAUAUUAAUAUGUAAUAUAUAUGAAUCUGGUGUGUAGUAAACCUGAUAUUGUGAUAAUUAUGUCCUUGUGCUUGCCUUUUUAAGUAAAGGAGAUGUUAAGAUAUCCUAAUUUUUCCAUUUGUUUUCAAACAAUGCUAUGUUUGGUCCCCAAAAAAUAUGAGGGAGAAUGUGAGGGAAAAAAACUUAAAGAAAAAAAGUAAAAAAUAAAAAAUAGAUUUAAAAUUAAUAAAUUAUUUUAUAAUUAUUUCAAAUCCAUUUAACAUAUUUUUUCUUUUCUAUGUAAAGAUUAAAUCAUUUUAAAAUAUAUAAAUUUUUAACUAAUUAUAAUUAUAUUGGAUUUUCUUUUAUAUUUUUCAUAUUGUAAUCACACAUGAGAAAUUUAUUUUCUUUAAUAAUUUUUUUCUUAAUACUUUUUGGGAACAAAAAAAAAAAACUUAUAUUAUAAGAAUUGAACUUAACAUAUCAAAUUAUAAAAAUAAAAUUACAAUAUAUCAUCCUCAAAAUAGAUGGUUGCAAUUUAUCUUUUUUUGUCAUCAUUAAUUAUUUUUUAAAUAAGUCUAUUAUUUGCUAUAUUGAAUACUCCAUCUCAAUACCUAAAUUUAUCACUUGAAGAGAAUUUUUCUCCCCCUUUUGACCCACUUCUCUCGUAACCACUUUGAAAGAUUUUUCCUGUUAUAUUUAGAGCCCGUUUGGUAAUGAUUCUAGUGGAAGUGUUUUUAUUUUAAGUGUUUUCUGUUAUAGUGUUUCUGUGAAAAACACUUUUAUGAUAAUCAGAAAAAAUGAUUCUAAAGUGUUUUUGAUAAUAUAUUGUAUAAAUAUAAAAACACUUUUAAUAUUAAUAAAUUACCAAAAAGGACAUACAAUUUUAAUUAAAAAAAUGAUAUGAUAAACAAAAAAACUUUUUAUUAAUGAAAAAACAUCUAAAUCACUAAAAAAAUAACAUUAAAUAAAAGAUAAUUUUAAAAUUAAAACAAUAUAUGAUUACCUAUUAAUUUCUAUAAAAAAAAAAGACUUUUUUAAUUAAAAAUAAUAAUUUUUUUAUCACUAUACUAAAAUUUUAAAAAAUAUUUACAAAAAACAUCUAAAUCAAUAAAUAAAUAAAAACAUUGAAUAAAAGAUAAUUUUAAAAGUAAAACAAUAUAUGACCACCUAUUAAUUUCUAAAAAAAAAAAAGAUUUUUCUAAUUGAUUUAUCACUGGGGGCAUUUUUGGAAUAUUUCAAAAAAAUUGAAGUGUUUUUUUAAAAAAAAUGAUUCUCUAAAAAUCACCUCAAGUGUUUUUCCAGAUUUUAAAAAGUGUUUUUUAAAAUUUGCCAAACACUUUAUUUUCAUCCCAAAAACACUUAAAAGUGUUUUUAAGGGUAGAAACACUUUUAAAAAUCACUGCCAAACGGGCUCUUAGUGUUUCUUUUUUAUUAAAUGUUCUUGAAUUAUUAUUGCUCAUUUUUGUUAAAUUGUUAUUAUUGAUGAGCGGUGGUUAUUGUUAUUGAUGAAUCUUUUAACCGAAUACUUUAAAUCUCUUCUUUAACUUUCAAUUAAGUAUAUUUAAAAAAAUAAAAAAUGAGAAGUAAAUUAAUUUAAAGUAAAUUUAAAAUUUUCCAUAAAAUUUAUCCAUCAUUUUCCAACUUUACACUUUUAAAUAUAAUUUAUUUCUAAUUUUAAAAAGUAUUAAAGAUUUAUAUUUUUCUUCAAUCACAAUUCCCACCAAACUAGAUUUUUGUUGGAUUAAUUUUUGUUUUCAAAUAUCAUAAUGAUAGUCAUGUUUAAUUACAAGAGCACCUUUAAACUAGUGUUUUUACUUUUUGAAACACAAAAUUGAAUAGGAUAGAAUUAAGAAUAAAAAAAAUGAGAUCUAAAUUCAAUAUAAAUAAAUUUAAACUUUCCACGUGGCUGUUAAUUAUUGGGCAACACUCCGAAAAGCUCCGACUUUAAAAUCUCACCGUUCGCCUCCUAGGAGACCUGAGCAAGUCUCCUUGCCCGUACACCCCCUUUUCCUCUGUCUUACUCUUUCGCGUAGACGUCGACUUCGUUGGUUACUUACUACUUUCUCCACAGGUUUACUUCUCCACUAAGUUUAUCACUCUCAAAACCACAAGGAUUUGGCAUUGGAUUGCGUGUCUCAAAGUGUGUAUAUAUAAUUAUGUAUAUGUAUGACACUUCUUCGGUGUGAUGUCGUUUGGUGCUCUUGGCAUCUCUCUACUAAGAGUGAAGACUGAAGAGGAGUACUUUGAGUGAAUCGAGAAGGAGUAGUAAUGGCGACGCCGAAAGAGCAUAUAGAAGAGAUAAGGAGGACGAAGUUCUCGAUCGGAGGAGAGCUGAAUCCUCUGACGGAGGAUCUUCACCAGGCGGUCAAGAAUCUCUCUGCUGAGCUUUACGCUAAGGAUGUUCAUUUCCUCAUGGAGCUCAUUCAGGUUUGUUUUUAAUACGUUUCUCUUGUUUUUUGAGAUGUAAUCGGCACUGUGUUGUAUGCGGGGAUUGUUUUGUUAUAUUAUUUAAUAUUUUGACCCUUGUCUUGUUCAUCAGUUCCGUUGUCAGAAAACGGAGGAAAAUGAAACGUAUGGAACUUUUGUGUAUUUUGUUUUCUUCAUGUGGUUUUUGUUUCUUGGAGGUGACGGACUGGAGAUUGUACUUCCAAAAUAGCUCUGAAUGGAGAGGAGUUUUUCCAUAUAUUUUUUUCCUUUCCUUGGUAUGCUAAUGAAUUACUUUGGAAAAUCAUUUGGUUUUGAUUUCCAACAUAGACCAAAGAAUCAGGCAUGUAUUGUUUUGAUUCUGACCAGAAUGUGAUCUAGCUGAGAUUUAGUUUUGUUACAUUCAAAUUUCAGUUACAUUUUUUUUUUCUUUUGGAUAAUCUACAUGUGAAUUAACCAAAUAUGGUGAAUUUUGCAUAACAGAAUGCAGAAGAUAAUGAGUACGGGGAAGGAGUGAAUCCAUCGCUGGAGCUAGUUAUAACUUCACAGGACAUAACAGACACUGGAGCACCGGCGACAUUGUUGAUUUUCAAUAACGAGAAGGGGUUUUCAGCUAAAAACAUAGAGUCUAUAUGCAGUGUUGGGAGGUCCACCAAGAAAAGCAACAGGAAGCAGGGUUAUAUUGGAGAGAAAGGUACCUCCAUUCCUUGAUUCUUUCACUCAUAUUUUUCCCUUUUUAUGGUGUAAAUUUGAAAAGGAAACAGAGGAACGCCUACCUCUCUAUACUAAGCUUUAACUACAGAGCAGGUAGAUCCUCAAGUCUUAGAACUUAUAGAGUAAAAACACUUUAAUCGAGUCAAAAGUUAGCUUGAUCAAGUCAGCUAGAGCUUUCUUUCUUAUUAUCUUGAAUUAUGUGUUUGUAUAAGUUAUUUUUGGUUGUUCAGAACCAUCUAGUUAACCUCUAAUUUACAAACUUCUUAAUGGAGGUUGAGCAUUUGAAGUUCUUUUAAGAUAUGACGAUUGCCUGUAUUGUUCUCAUAAUUAGGAGAAAAUUUGGAGCUUGAAAAUUUAUCUAUGCAUCAUACAUGAUACUAAUGGAACUUGAAUUCACUAUGAUACAUAAAGUCUCAAAUGUCAUUUAAAUGACACAACAUAGGGAAGAAAUGAAAACGUAAGGCUUUAUCUAUUACAGUAGCUUACCAACAUCGAAUCUUGGUUCACUUUACCUACAAACAACAAUAUAGGGUGGUAAUGAAGAUCGAAGGGGCUAAUGCGUUUGGAUGGAUUAUUGGUUAAUUUUUGAAAACAUGACUGAUUCAACAUUAAGUCAAUGCAGUGUAGGCAUUAUAUUGAAACAUAUGCAACAGUUUAACAUACAAUCUAGGAUAAUCCUAUAAAUAUUAGGGAAAAUAAAUAAACUGGAUAAAAAUAAAACGAAAAAUGUACCAAUGAGAUUCCAGAUUCCCUCCCUUGCUUUCUGUAUGUGGUUCCCAAUGCUUACCCUUCCCCAUAAAGAAUGGUAUUAGAGCCUUAAAUCUUGAAUUGCUUUUCUUCUAGUGAAAUAUAUGCAUUUUAAAAUGCAGAUAUGAGAUAUAGAAUGCCCAUAUAUAAAUUUACCUUAGAAAUAUUAAGAAUAUGAAAGGAAGUUCUCAACAACAUGUGUGUUAGUACAAGUCAAAUAGGUGUACAAUAAAUGGAAUUGUUUCAUAUGCAUGGAGAUGCAUGAAUUCAAUAAUAGGAAACCAUCAGAAUGAUAUGACAGCAAAGUUGGCUUUGCAAUUAAAAUCCAACACUAACUGACCUUUUUUUUAAUUUGUAAUUACAAUCAUGUUGUUGGUGUUCCAGAGGAUCAUUUGAAGCAAAAUAUAUGAGCUCUUCCUAUAGCAGGCAAAUCAUGAUUAUCCCAAAUACUUAACUUUGUGCAGUGUGCUAACCUAAAAACACCCCCACCAAUGAAUUGUCCUAGUUUUCCCUCCUUUGAAAUUGGCUUUCUAUUAUUUUUCCCCAAAGCCAUUAACAAAAACAGAGUAGGCAUUUCCUUUCUGAUCUUUGAUGUUUUUUUAUGCAUGUUGUAGGACUCUUAUGGCCAUCUCAUGCGUUCAGUCCUUGAUUCCUGGAUUCCUUCCAUCAUAUUUUUACAUUCUUUAGUUACAGAUUUAUAUGCCACAAUUGCUGUAUUUUUAAAGGGAAACAGAGUAGCCCUUUACUCUCAUCCCUAAGCUUUAAGUAUCAGGUAGCUAGAUCCUAAUGUCAUAGAACUUGUGGAGCCAAAACAGUUUCUUCAAGUCAUAAGUUCGAUUGAUGAACACAGAUGGCUUUAUAUUUUCCUUAUUAUCUCAUAUUAUAUCUUUUUGUGAGUCAUUUUCAGUUGAGUAGAACUAAAUAAACUUAUUCAUUGAGCUGACGUGUUCAAGGGGAUGUUUUUUAUUUUCAGAAGCAUGCCUAAGAACAUUUGUGUAUGUACCCAUAACUAGGGGAGCAUUUGUGACUAGAACAUUUAUUAAUACAUGAUACAAGAUACUAAGAGAGCAUGAAUUCCCUAAGUUGACAUUGUAGUUACUUGGGAAGGGGUGGAAAUGGAGAUCAAAGGGCUCUAUCUCUUAAGGUUGAUUUCCUUAAGCUACAUAAAGACAUCAAUUUGAGUAGACUCGACUUAGUUGACUCAAUGCAGAAGAUUAGACAUUAAAUAUUGAAACAUUAGUAGCAAUUUAACAUAUAAUUUAGGUUAAUUAUAUAAAUAUUAAGAAAACUGAAUAUACGAAAUUAAACUGACAAGCAAAGGUAUUAGAACCUUAAAUCUUGAAUUUUAUUUCCUUCAUUGAUAUUUAAGGAUUUUAAAAUGCAGAAAGAAAUAUAGAAUAUGUCCAUACAAUGAAAUUAUUUAAGAAAUAUUGGUUGGAACUAUGGAGAGCAUGAAAGAAAAUAUAGCACACUGCACAGGACUAAGAAAAUGGGAAGAAAUACUUAGUUGUGUGCAGUGUGCUGACAGUGAGAAUUUGCCUCAGACUCCACACCAGCCCUAGGCCCAUCCACACACCCAAAAACAAAUAAAUAAAUAAAAGAAGAAGAAGAAGACAAGAAAAGAAAAGAAAAGAAAAAGAAGAGAAAGAACAACACAGCAGCACCGAUCUAUUGUUUUUCCUUCUAUGUUUUAAUUUUGUUAGGGAGGUUCUUCUACACACUGUUGUUCUUUUCAAAUUGCCUCUCUAUCAAAGCCAUUAACAAAAACAAAUCAUGUUCUAUGUGUGAUUAUUGAAUGUCUUUUUAAGCAUAUGGAAGACUUAUGGCCAUCAUAAGAAGUUGAAUAAUGCCCAAAUAUCACAUUUCAAAUGCCUGACCACUCCAUUACCAAUUAUCUUCACACCUCCAAGGUCAAAGCUUCUUUAGAAUUUCCUCACAACCAUUCUCAAUUAGAGUGUUUCAUGACCAUGAGUACUAAAAUUGACUGAUGACCUAGAUGAACAAUCAACAGUGUGAACAUGUGAUGACAAAUUUGUUUGUAGUUCUCAAUUAGUCUAAUGGGAACAAGUCUUUCUGUUAACCAAUUUGAUCCCUCUACCAGUUAUUUGUUAUUUAUUUUACUUAGUUACCUAUUAGGACUAUUUCUUAUGCAACUUGUCAUCUGGCUAAUAUGCAGGAAUUGGGUUCAAAAGUGUAUUUUUGAUCACAGCUCAGCCUUACAUAUUCAGUAAUGGAUAUCAGAUACGAUUCAAUGAAGAGCCUUGCUCGCACAGCAAUCUUGGGUACAUUGUCCCUGAAUGGGUUGAGCAGAAUCCAAGUCUUGCUGACAUAAAACAAAUAUAUGGUUCUCAUGCUGUGCUUCCAACCACUACUAUAAUCUUGCCUCUAAAGCCAGACAAGAUCAAACCUGUGAAGCAACAGCUCUCAAGUAUUCAACCUGAAGUUCUAUUAUUUCUUUCAAAGAUUAAGCAGUUUUCUGUCAAGGAAGAUAACAAGGAUCCAAGGCUCAAUACAGUGAAUGCUAUAUCUAUUUCAAGUGAAAUUAACUUUGUUACAAGGAAAAAUAUUGAUGCUGAUUCCUAUACUCUCCAUCUCUCCACGGAUGAAGCUAGUGAUGUGACUGAAAAAGAAUGCAGCUAUUAUAUGUGGAGGCAGAAGUUCCCUGUCAGGCAGGAAAAUCAAGUAGAAAGAAGACUUGGAGUGGAGGAGUGGGUUAUUAAGCUAGCAUUUCCGAUUGGACAGCGACUGAAUAGGGGGAUGAGCUCUCCUGGAAUCUAUGCAUUUCUUCCUACGGAGAUGGUUACAAAUUUUCCUUUCAUUAUUCAGGCAGAUUUUGUUCUUGCAUCAUCCAGGGAAACAAUCCUCUUGGACAACAAAUGGAACCAAGGCAUUCUAGAUUGUGUGCCUUCUGCUUUUCUUAAUGCCUUUAUUUCACUGGUUACAACAUCAGAAGAUGUUCCAGUUUCUACACUGACCCCAAUGUUUAAGUUCUUACCUAUCAACAGCUCUUCUUAUCCAAAGCUCAAUGUCGUGAGGGAGUCUAUCAAAGCAAAACUGCUUACAGAGAAUAUCAUACCGUGUGAGUCGUAUUCAGACCAGAAGAUCUUUCGUAAACCUUGUGAAGUGGGUAGGUUAAUGCCUUCUUUCUGGAAUAUCCUGAAAAAGGCAAGGAAGCAAGGGGUAAGCUUGCAUUCUCUAUCAUCCCAUGGAAGGUAUAUCCUGAAUUCUUCAUUUGAUACAGAGGAGCACGAUCACAUAUUGAAUUUCCUUGGUGUGGAACCUGUCAAUAGCGAAUGGUAUGCCAAGUGUAUCAUGAGUUCCAAGCUUGUUUUGGGAGUGACAGAGGAUGACUAUUUGGAGCUUCUACUCUUUAUUGCUGAGAAAUGGAGUUUCUCGUUCUAUAGCACUACUAUGAAGUAUGUGCCUCUCCUGAAAUAUGUUGGGCUUGACGGAAGGGUUGCUUUGUGUGCUAUAAGCAACGUCACAAUGCGGGAUGGUGAAAGUAUGAUUUGUAUGUCCCAUGAGCCUCGGCAUAUCUCAUGGAUGAUAGAUUGGAACAGGGAAUUUGGAUUUAUGACAGAUCGAUAUUUUAUGCCCAGAAGCACACAAGCAGCUAUAAUGUCAUUUUUUAGGAGAGAGACUCUGUUGGAAUGGCUUAAAAUUCAAGUUAAGGUUCGUGUUGUAGGCAUGUACAACUUUGCGGUCAUUCUUUAUAAUUCUCUCAAUGAUGACCGACAGCUUGCAAUUGCCUAUGCUCACUUCCUUUAUCAUUCGUUCUCAAAGAGUUAUCUACCAAAGGAGAAGGUUGAUUAUUUGUGUGGUAUUAUGCCACUUGUAGAUAACUAUGGGCAUGUGAUGAGACGAAGAAAAGGGGUUCUCGUCCCUGCCAAUGGAAGCAAAUGGGUGGGAUUGAUGGGUGCAAAUCCGUGGAGGGAAGAAGGCUAUGUUGAACUAGGAGAAGACUAUUUGCGCUCAGGAAAUUAUGCAGGUUCAUUCACCCCAGAAAGUCAGCUAAUAACAUUUCUCAAAACACAUAUUGCAGUUUCUGAUAUACCUGAUAUAUCUCCUCCCAACGCUGAGUUAUCUGUUGCAGAUACACCACUCACCAAGAAAAAUGCAUUCUUGCUGUUGGACUGGAUUCAUAAUCUGAAUUAUAAGGAAAAUCUGCCUGCUAAGUUCUUGGCAUCCAUUCGGACAGGAAGCUGGCUCAAAAUUUCCCUCAGUGACAGCCCUGGAUACAGGCCACCAUCACAGUCUUUUCUAUUUGCUUCAUCAGAUGGAAAUCUUCUUCAGGACGAGUCAGUGAUGGUUGAUAUUCCAUUGAUUGACCAAGAAUUUUAUGGCAAUGGCUUAAAUAAUUAUAAGGAGGAGCUCAAAAAAAUUGGAGUAAUGUUUGAAUAUCGUGACAUGUGUCAGUUUGCAGGGAAGCACGUAAUGUCUCUUGCAACUUCCUCUGCAUUGACCAAAUCUAAUGUGUUUCAAAUACUUAAUUUCAUCAAAUUUCUGCGGCUUAAAGUUCUUCCAGCUGAUGAGUUCAUCCAGACUAUCAAGGAUGGAAGAUGGUUGAAGACUUCCUGUGGUCACAGGUCUCCAGUUGGAUCUGUUUUAUUUGACCAAGAAUGGAAAGCUGCAUCACAAAUCAGUGACAUCCCCUUCAUCGACCAAGAUCACUACGGCAAGGAAAUCCUUCGUUUCAAAAUGGAACUCCAAUUGCUAGGUGUGGUAGUUGGCUUCAACAAAAAUUACCAGCUUGUUACUGAUCACUUAAAGUCUCAAGCAUGCUCAAAUCAUCCAACAGCCGAGGCUAUUCUUUUGAUAUUUGAAUGCAUGCGUGAUUGUGAGCGCAAUUCAAGACCAGCCGAUAAACUUAUACAGGCACUUAAAGGUAAUAAAUGCUUGAAGACGAACAUGGGCUACAAGUUUCCUAGUGAAUGUUUCCUGUUUAAUACUGAGUGGGGCUGCCUUCUGAAAGUCUUCCAUAAUGAUUUCCCACUUAUUGAUGAAGACUUCUAUGGGACCACCAUCUUUUCUUACAAAAGAGAGUUGGGGCAAGCAGGAGUAGUGGUAGAUUUUGAGGCGGCAACCCAGAAAUUUUCUCCUGUUUUCAAGAAACGUGCAUCCUCAUCUUCCAUUGGAAGAGAACAUGUUCUGUCUUUUCUCGCAUCUUACAGACAGAUUAAUAAGACAAACAACAAGUUUCCUUCAGAUUUUGUGUGCAGCAUCUACGAGGCAAAAUGGCUGCAAACACGCUUUGGUGAUCCUAGAUCUCCAAGAGAGUGCAUUCUUUUUGGCCCGGAGUGGGAACCUGUAAGCUCAAUUACUCUGCUUCCUUUCAUUGAUGACAGUGAUAAUUCCUACGGCAAGGGCAUUCAUGAAUACAGAAAAGAGCUGAAUAGCCUGGGCGUUACCAUCAAAUAUAGAGAUGGUGUGAGGUUUGUGGCUGCUGGUAUCUGUUUUCCCCAAGAUCCCAGCACUAUAACUCCAGAAAGUGUGCUCUCUCUGCUGCAGUGCAUAAAGAUUUUACAGAAAUAUGAUCCUCAUUUACCUGACAUUUUCCGGAAAAAGGUUUCCCAAAGUUGGUUAAAAACCUAUUAUGGGUAUAGGUCUCCAGACCAAAGUUUGUUGUUUGGCUCUGAGUGGGGUUCUUUCUUACAGAGGAAUGAUGGGCCUUUCAUUGAUGAAGAAUUCUAUGGCCCCAACAUUACAGCCUACAAGAACGAGCUCAGAGAAAUAGGAGUGACCGUUGAUGUGUCAAAUGGGUGCUCUUUGCUUGCCGGCUACCUUGAUUUUCAUUCUGAAUUUUCAACCAUUGUUCGAGUCUAUAAUUACUUGAAUAAACAC